rnacentral:pre_miRNA from 1 species
ACAGAAAUCACCAGAAGAUCUUGUUAAAAUGCAGAUCCUGAUUCAGUAGGUCUGGGGUAGACUGAGAUGCUGCAUUUCUUAUAAGUUCAGGGAGAGGCCAAU